rnacentral:rRNA from 1 species
UACGAAGGGUGCAAGCGUUAAUCGGAAUUACUGGGCGUAAAGCGCGCGUAGGUGGUUCGUUAAGUUAGGAGUGAAAGCCCCGGGCUCAACCUGGGAAUUGCUUCUAAAACUGGCGAGCUAGAGUAUGGUAGAGGGUGGUGGAAUUCCUGGUGUAGCAGUGAAAUGCGUAGAUAUCAGGAGGAACACCGAUGGCGAAGGCAGCCCCCUGGGCCUGUACUGACGCUCAUGCACGAAAGCGUGGGGAGCAAACAGGAUUAGAUACCUCGGUAGUCCCU